rnacentral:rRNA from 1 species
GUUAGGAAUAUUGGACAAUGGGCGCAAGCCUGAUCCAGCCAUGCCGCGUGUGUGAAGAAGGCCUUUUGGUUGUAAAGCACUUUAAGCGAGGAGGAGGCUACUUGGAUUAAUACUCUAGGAUAGUGGACGUUACUCGCAGAAUAAGCACCGGCUAACUCUGUGCCAGCAGCCGCGGUAAUACAGAGGGUGCGAGCGUUAAUCGGAUUUACUGGGCGUAAAGCGUGCGUAGGCGGCUGUUUAAGUCGGAUGUGAAAUCCCUGAGCUUAACUUAGGAAUUGCAUUCGAUACUGGGAAGCUAGAGUAUGGGAGAGGAUGGUAGAAUUCCAGGUGUAGCGGUGAAAUGCGUAGAGAUCUGGAGGAAUACCGAUGGCGAAGGCAGCCAUCUGGCCUAAUACUGACGCUGAGGUACGAAAGCAUGGGGAGCAAACAGGAUUAGAAACCCGAGUAGUCC